AGCGGCGGAUGGGUGAGUAACACGUGGGGAACCUGCCCCUAAGUCUGGGAUACCACUUGGAAACAGGUGCUAAUACCGGAUAAUAAAGCAGAUCGCAUGAUCAGCUUUUGAAAGGCGGCGUAAGCUGUCGCUAAGGGAUGGCCCCGCGGUGCAUUAGCUAGUUGGUAAGGUAACGGCUUACCAAGGCGACGAUGCAUAGCCGAGUUGAGAGACUGAUCGGCCACAUUGGGACUGAGACACGGCCCAAACUCCUACGGGAGGCAGCAGUAGGGAAUCUUCCACAAUGGACGCAAGUCUGAUGGAGCAACGCCGCGUGAGUGAAGAAGGUUUUCGGAUCGUAAAGCUCUGUUGUUGGUGAAGAAGGAUAGAGGUAGUAACUGGCCUUUAUUUGACGGUAAUCAACCAGAAAGUCACGGCUAACUACGUGCCAGCAGCCGCGGUAAUACGUAGGUGGCAAGCGUCGUCCGGAUUUAUUGGGCGUAAAGCGAGCGCAGGCGGAAAAAUAAGUCUAAUGUGAAAGCCCUCGGCUUAACCGAGGAACUGCGUCGGAAACUGUUUUUCUUGAGUGCAGAAGAGGAGAGUGGAACUCCAUGUGUAGCGGUGGAAUGCGUAGAUAUAUGGAAGAACACCAGUGGCGAAGGCGGCUCUCUGGUCUGCAACUGACGCUGAGGCUCGAAAGCAUGGGUAGCGAACAGGAUUGGAUACCCUGGUAGUCCAUGCCGUAAACGAUGAGUGCUAAGUGU
rnacentral:rRNA from 1 species